rnacentral:rRNA from 1 species
CGGUGAUCCUGGUGCUUGCACCGGGUGAUCAGUGGCGAACGGGUGAGUAACACGUGAGUAACCUGCCCCAGACUCUGGGAUAACUUCGGGAAAUCGGAGCUAAUACCGGAUACGAGACGCACACGCAUGUGUAGCGUCUGGAAAGAAUUUCGGUCUGGGAUGGACUCGCGGCCUAUCAGCUUGUUGGUGGGGUAAUGGCCUACCAAGGCGACGACGGGUAGCCGGCCUGAGAGGGCGACCGGCCACACUGGGACUGAGACACGGCCCAGACUCCUACGGGAGGCAGCAGUGGGGAAUAUUGCACAAUGGGCGCAAGCCUGAUGCAGCGACGCCGCGUGGGGGAUGAAGGCCUUCGGGUUGUAAACCCCUUUCAGCAGGGAAGAAGCGAGAGUGACGGUACCUGCAGAAGAAGCGCCGGCUAACUACGUGCCAGCAGCCGCGGUAAUACGUAGGGCGCAAGCGUUGUCCGGAAUUAUUGGGCGUAAAGAGCUCGUAGGCGGUUUGUCGCGUCUGCUGUGAAAACCCGAGGCUCAACCUCGGGCCUGCAGUGGGUACGGGCAGACUAGAGUGCGGUAGGGGAGACUGGAAUUCCUGGUGUAGCGGUGGAAUGCGCAGAUAUCAGGAGGAACACCGAUGGCGAAGGCAGGUCUCUGGGCCGCAACUGACGCUGAGGAGCGAAAGCAUGGGGAGCGAACAGGAUUAGAUACCCUGGUAGUCCAUGCCGUAAACGUUGGGCACUAGGUGUGGGGCUCAUUCCACGAGUUCCGUGCCGCAGCAAACGCAUUAAGUGCCCCGCCUGGGGAGUAC